CCGAGUUUACAAACUCCCAAACCCCUGUGAACAUUACCUUUAUCGUUGCUUCGGCGGUCUACCGGUCGCCCCGGGAACGGACGGCCCGCCGGCAGGAACCCUAACUCUGUUUUCUAGGUGGAACUUCUGAGUAAGACAAAUAAGUCA
rnacentral:misc_RNA from 1 species